rnacentral:rRNA from 1 species
UACGUAGGGUGCAAGCGUUAAUCGGAAUUACUGGGCGUAAAGCGUACGCAGGCGGCUAUGCAAGACAGGUGUGAAAUCCCCGGGCCUAACCUGGGAACUGCAUUUGUGACUGCAUAGCUAGAGUCCGUCAGAGGGGGGUGGAAUUCCACGUGUAGCAGUGAAAUGCGUAGAGAUGUGGAGGAACACCGAUGGCGAAGGCAGCCCCCUGGGAUGAGACUGACGCUCAUGUACGAAAGCGUGGGGAGCAAACAGG